rnacentral:lncRNA from 1 species
GCCGCGUUUUCCCCUGACAGACCGAAGAGACGCCGUUCCAUCCAAGUUUCGUGGACGAAAAAGACGACCUUCUCGAGCGGAGCGCACGCACACGACCUCCGGGCAACUCUGCGCCGCCGCUGGGACAGACCGCGCGCUCCGUUUCCACCCUCGGUUUCAAGAGAGAUUUCACGAGGAAACCCGCGUGUCUCCGAUUCGAGAGUGGUGCAAGAAAACCACACCGGAAAAUCGAUGAGAAACUGAGCGCUAGUGGCUAUACGAAUUGACCGACAGAUUAGGUUCAAGGUGACUCGUAUAAUAUGCUGAGCUUCAGCCAGCAGCGGUCUCAUUUCAAGAAACCAUCCAGGAACGCGGAGAGUCUAGCACUACUGAUCUUUCUAAAGCCAAUCACAGUUUUUCCCCUCGUGAUUACGAGAGUGACAAAAAACCGUGAUUUACAGUCGCUCUAGGCAGACUCCUCCACGGGAGGUCUCUGUCGUUCACUGACAACAUCCCGCGCUACCACGAGAGUCCGAUCGCAUCCAAUUUGCGAAGGAACUGGCUUCCUUUAUUUUGAUGGGAUGUACCGUGUCGAAAACUAUGCAUCUGGUUCAAGCUCUGGAGGCGCAUGAGGAACAGGAUAGACCAAAGCCUACUGACAAACUCCACCAGCAACCGCUAGGUCUACCUGAAACGUCAGCGACCUGCGUAGACAGCGGUUCGUUCUGAUGCUUAUGGGUCGAGCAGCUGGCUUCUGGAUUACAAACUGAAGUCCAGACAAAGUCUGAUUCGUAGCACCAGGACUUUGCUGUGGCCACAC